rnacentral:rRNA from 1 species
UACGUAGGGUGCGAGCGUUAAUCGGAAUUACUGGGCGUAAAGCGUGCGCAGGCGGCUUGCCAAGUCAGAUGUGAAAGCCCCGGGCUCAACCCGGGAACUGCGUUUGAAACUGGCAGGCUAGAGUUUGGCAGAGGGGGGUGGAAUUCCACGUGUAGCAGUGAAAUGCGUAGAGAUGUGGAGGAACACCGAUGGCGAAGGCAGCCCCCUGGGCCAAAACUGACGCUCAGGCACGAAGGCGUGGGGAGCGAACGGG